rnacentral:lncRNA from 1 species
AAUUGUUUUGAUUAAAAUGCGUUUUUUCUAUAAGAUGAGGGCUACCAAAAGACAGAAUACGUAGUCACUAAAUGAGUGACAUUGGAUAGGGCAGAGGAAUAUAACAGGAUCCUGAUAGGUUUAUACUGCAACUUACAAAAAUGAGAAAUGUGUAGGAGUUCGAGCAGGAGACUGGCUCACUGGGGUGGGCUGGGGAGGAGGCACUGGUGGGAGAGAGGAGCUUUAGGUAGGAGAGAAGGCUGGUUAUGGUAGACUGGCCAUAUGGUAGAGUGGCCAGGAAAAUGGAGUUGCCAGGUGAUAUGGUUUUGCUGUGCCCUAUCCAAAUCUCAUCUUGAAUUGUAUUUCCCAUAAUCCCCACUUAUCGUAAGAGGGACCCAGUGGGAGGUAACCAAAUCAUGGGGGGUGGUUAACUCCAUGCUGUUCUCCUGAUAGUGAGUUCUCACGAGAUCUGAUGAUUUUUCUGAGACAAGAUUCUUCCCCUGUUACCCAGGCUAAAGUACAGUGGCACCAUCUCGGCUUAGCGCAACCUCCACCUCCUGGGUUCAAGUGAUUCUCCUGCCUUAGCCUCCCAAGUAACUGGGAUUAUAGGCACCCACCACCAUGCCUGGCUAAUUUGUAUUUGUAGUAGAGACAGGGUUUCACCAUGUUGCCCAGGCUAGUCUCAAACUCCUGAGCUCAGGUGAUUUGCCCACCUUGGCCUCCCAAAGUGCUGGGAUUACAGGUGUGAGCCACUGCACCUGGCCAAUCUGGUGGUUUUCUGGGGGACUUUUCCCCUCCUUCUUUCUCAUUCUUCUCUCUCCUGCCAUCUUGUGAAGAAAGACGUGUUUGCUUCUUCUUCUGCCAUGAUUGUAAGUUUUUGAGGCCUCCCCAGCCCUGCAGAACUGUCAAUUAAACCACUUUUCUUCAUAAAUUACCCAGUCUUGGGUAUGUCCUUAUAGCAGUGUGAGGAUGGACUAAUACACUAGGGCUGCUGAAGGCCAAAUUGAAGUGGUUUCUGAGACCAGAACUUAAGACUCGUAUGUGGCAUGGUCUUGCAAAUGGGAAACCUAGAAGCUGGAGGCUUGAAAACAAAAAAUAAAUUAAUUGAUUAAUUUAAAAAAAUCAAAUGGACAAACAAGUAAUGCCUGGGUUUGUGAGCUGAGGGACCUGGGGUCUAGCGAGGUAUAAAGUACAAAUGUUGUUUCCUGGUGAUCCCUCACCCUCAGCAGCCAGGACUCUCAAGCAGGCUUGGUUCACCCAGCUCUGCUGCUUGACAAGCUCAUUCCUACCUCCGUGAUGCAUUUCUUCUCCCCACAUUAACCAUAAGGUCCACAAACAUAAGAAUCACGACUUUCAAUUGCUUUUGGCAGCACUCAGGAUGAUACUGUAUGUUAUAUAUAUAGGAAUUGAUCCAUACGCAUUGCUAGAUGGAUUUUUGGCCCGUAUUUACAUAUGUGUAAAUAUAUAUGUAGAUUAUACAUAAUAUGAAAAUGUACAUUCUAUUCUUAAUUGGUGGAAGUGUAUCUUAAUUAUUUACACAUUGUACUGAAGUUACUGUGCUGCUGGGUGGGCCGCUCCUAUGAGCUUCCCCUAGAGGUAUUCCAGAGCACAGAGACAAGAGCUGUGCUCCGUGAGGACAUGAGGGUGACCCAGGCAUGCAUUCACCUUCCUGGAAAAUUGAUGGAAAAGAAAGGAAGUAGCAGGUUGUGGCUCAGUCAGAAAUUGUGAUAGACAACUCUGAGGGAGCAUAGGGAAUAUUGAAAUGAUAUUAUUUGCGCAGGCUCUUCUAAAUUAGCCAGAGUUUAUGGUUAGUAAGUGGUAGAGCUAGGAUGUGUACAGCUCAGUCUGACUCCAGAUCUGGACUCUUCACCCCUAGACUCCACUGCCAAUUCAAUUCAAGUGGCCUGUGAGAUAUUCUAUGUAAGUGGAAACUUUAUGUAGGUUGCCCAGGUGGGAGUUAUGGGCAAUUCGGUGGAGAAAUCCUGAGCAUUCCGGAUGAGAGGAAACCCUUGCAUUAUGUUGUUUCUGUGCCCUCGUGUAGUUCCAGGUACACUGAUAGUGACGUGUGCCCAGUGGGUGCAGGGGGUAUUUUCCAUUCUUCCCAUUUAAAUGUGAAGACACUGAGGCCCCAAGUGUUUCAGAGACUUUCCCAAGCCACCCUGUAAAGGGCAGGGCCAGAUAAGCUCCUGGUUUUCCUGGCACUUGCUCCCACAUUCUCUCAGAUGCACCUGAGGACAUUUCUGUACAGCACGUUGGAAAAAGCGUGAGAAAGAUUUUGAAGAUUUUCCUAGAUAGCCUCAAUUGGGCAAUUGCAGUUUCUCAAGUUGAUCACAGCUAGUGUUCCAAAGAAGGAACUAAAAAAUAAUGAAACCUAAGCACGCUUUGUCUUUUUAUUUUUUAUUUUUUUUUGGAGAAAAUGUGUGCAGUGGAAUUUAUGUUCCUAUUUAUUCAAGGGGAAGCACUCAGCCUGGUACUUGUUGAGUGAAAAGGACAAAAAAGACUCCAGAAUUCACGCCACCUAAAUGCAACCCUAGAAAUAGGGUGGGUUUGCUUCCUCGCGGAGGCCCAGUCUUGGAGCCAUGGCACCAGCUGCAGGUUCUAGAGAAAGAGGGGCCAGGAUCAGCCAACCCGGGUGACAGUCCUUGCUUCUGCAGCUGCCAGCUCUGUCACUUAGGAAGGUCAUUUAGCCUGUUGAGCCACAGUUUCCUCAUCCAUUAAAAGGGAGAAUCCUUACAUUGCCUGCCUAGUGGGCUUGUUGUGAAGCUCAGAUUAAAUGAGGGAAAUGAAGGCAGUGGCGGAGCCCUGUAAAUUGCAGAGUCUGCUGGAGAUGGAUGGGCACCCUGUGGUUCCGAUAAUGGAGGGAGGCUGUCGUCGACUUUACACACUAUUUUAUCCCAUUAUCACAACAAUAUUUCAGGCUAGGGGUUAUCUCCAUUUCACAGAUGUAGGAGGUGAGCUCAGGGAAUCAUAACUUGCCUCAACUCCCUAAGUUAAAGGGUUCAGAUGCAGGUUCCGGUCCAAGCCCUGUCUCUCUAAGCCUGUGCAUUUAUUUGGAAGCCAAGCUGACUGCAGUGGGAGAGCCAGCUCUCUGUCGGAGAGCUGUUGAGGGCCUAGAGUCUAUCCGGCUGAGACUCAGCGAGACCUCCUUUCACUCUCUUCUCCUCCAUGGUUGCCAUUAUUAAAAUACUUAUAAUCGAAUAAAGUGAGUCAUAUACGCAAAUUUAAAUGGCAGAUCUGUGAUAAAUAAAUGUGUUAUUUUGAUGUAUACGAGUGAUAAUUGGAUUUUAAAUUACCCAAAAGAAGUGAGGCCGAGCGCAGUGGCUAACGCCUGUAAUCCCAGUACUUUGGAAGGCCGAGGCAGUUUGAAAAUUAAUAAGCUAAGCAUCAAAUGUAUAGAGAAUGAAUUAUUAAAAAAAUAAAAAAUAGAAGGAAAGAUAGGAAAGGCCAGAAAUGAAUGCAAAACAAGAUACAAUGGUCACAUUAAUAAUGCUACAAUGUAAUUUCCUAAUAAAAAUUGAUAAACCUCAAAUAAGAUUUAAUAGGCAAAAAUGAGAGAAAGUAUAACCAAAUAUUGGGAAUAAAAAAGAAAACAUUGCUAAAUAGAUAGUAGAGAUCUAAAAUAUGAGAAUAUUUUGAUCAACCUUACAUCAAUACAUUUAAACAAAACAGAGAAAACAGAAAACUUUCUUAAAAUAAUAAUGUUCCAAAGCA